rnacentral:snoRNA from 1 species
GUCUUCUCAUUGAGCUCCUUUCUGUCAGUUGGUGGCAGUUUAUGGAUUCGCACGAGAAGAAGAGACAAUUCACAGAGCUAGCCUUGUUUUACCUUCUGUCUUCAGAGGUAUAUUUUGCUGCUUUGUGAUACAUUU